rnacentral:rRNA from 1 species
AAAUUGAAGAGUUUGAUCAUGGCUCAGAUUGAACGCUGGCGGCAGGCCUAACACAUGCAAGUCGAACGGUAACAGGAAGCAGCUUGCUGCUUCGCUGACGAGUGGCGGACGGGUGAGUAAUGUCUGGGAAACUGCCUGAUGGAGGGGGAUAACUACUGGAAACGGUGGCUAAUACCGCAUAAUGUCGCAAGACCAAAGAGGGGGACCUUCGGGCCUCUUGCCAUCAGAUGUGCCCAGAUGGGAUUAGCUUGUUGGUGAGGUAACGGCUCACCAAGGCGACGAUCCCUAGCUGGUCUGAGAGGAUGACCAGCCACACUGGAACUGAGACACGGUCCAGACUCCUACGGGAGGCAGCAGUGGGGAAUAUUGCACAAUGGGCGCAAGCCUGAUGCAGCCAUGCCGCGUGUAUGAAGAAGGCCUUCGGGUUGUAAAGUACUUUCAGCGGGGAGGAAGGUGUUGUGGUUAAUAACCGCAGCAAUUGACGUUACCCGCAGAAGAAGCACCGGCUAACUCCGUGCCAGCAGCCGCGGUAAUACGGAGGGUGCAAGCGUUAAUCGGAAUUACUGGGCGUAAAGCGCACGCAGGCGGUCUGUCAAGUCGGAUGUGAAAUCCCCGGGCUCAACCUGGGAACUGCAUUCGAAACUGGCAGGCUUGAGUCUUGUAGAGGGGGGUAGAAUUCCAGGUGUAGCGGUGAAAUGCGUAGAGAUCUGGAGGAAUACCGGUGGCGAAGGCGGCCCCCUGGACAAAGACUGACGCUCAGGUGCGAAAGCGUGGGGAGCAAACAGGAUUAGAUACCCUGGUAGUCCACGCCGUAAACGAUGUCUACUUGGAGGUUGUGCCCUUGAGGCGUGGCUUCCGGAGCUAACGCGUUAAGUAGACCGCCUGGGGAGUACGGCCGCAAGGUUAAAACUCAAAUGAAUUGACGGGGGCCCGCACAAGCGGUGGAGCAUGUGGUUUAAUUCGAUGCAACGCGAAGAACCUUACCUGGUCUUGACAUCCACAGAACUUUCCAGAGAUGGAUUGGUGCCUUCGGGAACUGUGAGACAGGUGCUGCAUGGCUGUCGUCAGCUCGUGUUGUGAAAUGUUGGGUUAAGUCCCGCAACGAGCGCAACCCUUAUCCUUUGUUGCCAGCGGUCCGGCCGGGAACUCAAAGGAGACUGCCAGUGAUAAACUGGAGGAAGGUGGGGAUGACGUCAAGUCAUCAUGGCCCUUACGACCAGGGCUACACACGUGCUACAAUGGCGCAUACAAAGAGAAGCGACCUCGCGAGAGCAAGCGGACCUCAUAAAGUGCGUCGUAGUCCGGAUUGGAGUCUGCAACUCGACUCCAUGAAGUCGGAAUCGCUAGUAAUCGUGGAUCAGAAUGCCACGGUGAAUACGUUCCCGGGCCUUGUACACACCGCCCGUCACACCAUGGGAGUGGGUUGCAAAAGAAGUAGGUAGCUUAACCUUCGGGAGGGCGCUUACCACUUUGUGAUUCAUGACUGGGGUGAAGUCGUAACAAGGUAACCGUAGGGGAACCUGCGGUUGGAUCACCUCCUUA